UGGAGAACUGCAAAUAUGUUGCUACUGCUCUCAAUAACAUUGAUGCCCAGAAUUUAUCAGGCGCUAUCGACAAAGCAUUAAUCAGUAGAACACGCCUGACUCUAAUCCACCAGUCAUACAGUCAUCAAAAAGAGAGCUGCCUACAUGCACAAUUUCUUCAACUAUGGAGUUGGGGAAACACAUGUGGACCUGAAUUGUGAUAACUGCAGUGGUCAAAACAUGAAGUUUGUUCUCUGGUAUUGUGCCUGGUGGACCAUGCACAAGCUCUACCACAAUCUGGACCUUCACUUCUUGAUCACAGGCCACACCAAGUUUGCCCCUGACUUAAGUCGCUUUGGAUAAAAGCGUCUGCUAAAUGGCAUAUAUUGUGCUUUGGCCUCAUCAAACAGGGCUUCAGAAAGACCUGAGUGAAUACCUUGUCUGAGAUUGCUGGUGUUGUGAAGGACAGCACUGUGACAUGUGUCAACAUCCCACAGCUGGUUGGACUGGAGGAUGGUACAGUGCUGGUGGAAAGCUAUGUCUGGCAACAACACCUGACUCUGUCCUUCAGGCCGCUGCCACAGAUCAAGCAGUACCAGAACUUCAGCUUCAAUGCUCUGGAGCCUGGUGUUGUUGUCGCCAAGGAGCAUUCGGACUCAGUCGGGACCAGGUUUCAGUUGCUACGCAACGCUAGCAUCCUUCCUCCCAUAGAUGGUCUGCCUGUAAAAGCACCACCUGGACUGGACACAGCUAGACAAACUAUAUUUUUGAGGCUAUGGACAUCACAAGCCCUGCACCAAAGUCAAGGGCAGGAUAGAAACGCUCUCUGAAUAUAGAUUCCCUUCAUGCGUGGUUUGGACAGACCAGUCAUCAGCACUAUCUGCAGUGCCUCUAUUCACAUGACUCUCUCCUAACAUACAGUACACGCCAUAAGUUGCAGCUAUUUUUUUCUAUCCUGCUGCUCAGCCACUUUACACCUGUAUGCAUAUAACUACCUCGUAUAUAUCACUGAUAUCCUUAUUGUUCUUGUACAUACUGUAUAUUCUAUUUAUAUUGACACUAUCUAUUUCUGAUAUUGCUACUA